GGGAUUGCCUCAGUAACGGCGAGUGAAGCGGCAACAGCUCAAAUUUGAAAUCUGGCUCCUUCGGGGUCCGAAUUGUAAUUUGUAGAGAGUGCUUCGGGCGAGACCUCGGUCUAAGUCCAUUGGAACAUGGUGUCAUAGAGGGUGAGAAUCCCGUAUGCGACCGUGGCUCGAGCCCAUGUGAAGCCUCUUCGACGAGUCGAGUUGUUUGGGAAUGCAGCUCAAAACGGGUGGUAAAUUUCAUCUAAAGCUAAAUACUGGCUGGAGACCGAUAGCGCACAAGUAGAGUGAUCGAAAGAUGAAAAGCACUUUGGAAAGAGAGUCAAACAGUACGUGAAAUUGUUGAAAGGGAAGCGCUUGCAACCAGACCUGCCCGUAGGCGAUCAGCCGCUGUUCUCAGCGGUGCACUCGCUCUGCGAUCAGGCCAGCAUCGGUUUCGGCGGUCGGAUAAAGGCCUUGGGAAUGUAGCUUCCCUUCGGGGGAGUCUUAUAGCCCUCGGUGUAAUGCGGCCAGCCGGGACCGAGGACCGCGCUUCGGCUAGGAUGCUGGCGUAAUGGUUGUAAGCGACCCGUCUUGAAACACGGACCAAGGAGUCUAACAUCUAUGCGAGUGUUUGGGUGUCAAACCCAUACGCGGAAUGAAAGUGAACGGAGGUGAGAACCCUUAAGGGCGCAUCAUCGACCGAUCCAGAUGUCUUCGGAUGGAUUUGAGUAUGAGCAUAGCUGUUGGGACCCGAAAGAUGGUGAACUAUGCCUGAAUAGGGUGAAGCCAGAGGAAACUCUGGUGGAGGCUCGCAGCGGUUCUGACGUGCAAAUCGAUCGUCAAAUUUGGGUAUAGGGGCGAAAGACUAAUCGAACCA
rnacentral:rRNA from 1 species